UCACAUACCAAGUGUUCCUCAACUUCAGGGGUGAUGAGUAAAACCGCAAGUGCACGGUUCUAUCGAAGUAAUAAAAAGAGUAUCGUUCCGACAGGGAGUUAUGAAUUCAAUUAACUUUUAACAAUGAUUAGAUUGAAAGUUUAGAAGGUAGAAAGUUGUAUUUUUGUUUAAUUAAAAGAAAAUAACAAUAAUAAAAUAAUAGCGCCUUGGGAUUAUUGGUUCGUCAUAGUGACAAUUCCUUCACAAACAAACCCUAAACCUAAACUUUAUAUUGAACCUACUUUCUAAAGACAAGUUUCUCUUAAACGUAUCAAAGUUUCUCUCAAAAUCAUUGAGUUUGUUUCUCUAGCAACCACGCCUAUUCUCAUGGUUGAUUGUUAUUAGAAUCCUUGAAGAACAAAACUUUAUGUGUCUCAAGGUUUGCUAGACUAUUCUCAUAUUUCGCAAUCCUUGUCUAAUUUCACUUGUUCCAAUAUCAAAGCUCCGUGUUCGCUUUAUGAAUUGAUAUUUGUGAUGAUGAAUUAACAAAUACUAUCCCUCCGCGUUCGCUUUAUGAGUUUGGUAUUUGUUAAUUCAUUAUCAAAACGGUGAAAUUAGAUUAGAAAGUGGAUUUAUAUAAAAUUAGGGUUUAUGGUUUGGUUUGAUUAGGAUUACGUCAUUAGGCUUAUCCAA
rnacentral:lncRNA from 1 species